GUAGGCCCCGCCCACAGAGGAGGGGACCGCGCCGGAAGCCCCCUGCUCUGUGGGAACCGGAGGGAGGACAGCGCAAGGUCCCCGGACAAAGCGUGGCGCGUAAGUCCAGCCCAUAACUUGAUGGGCAGGCAACUUAGGGGAUGUGGGCCUGGUUAUAGCUGAGCAUGCCUUUUCUCUUCCUCCCAGACCACAGUUCUUCAGACCUGGAGCCACUUUCAGAGAAGAGUAUAAGUUGCACUGAAUUGAAAAAGGGAAAAGUUUGGGACUGCAAAAGAUGGAAUUCCUGGGGACGUUAAACUGGGCUAAGAUGGAGCAGAUAAGAUUUCCUUAAUUAGAGCAAGACACACCUAGUAUCUAGAGCCUGGAAGUCUUGGUCAAGGAUUCUCUCUAACAUUUCAGUUUCUCAGCACUAACAUUCCUGCUACUAAAAUGAAGUGAGAAAUUAAUUUCUGAAGUUAAGUAAAGAAAUAAACUAAAAUUCCUAGAAAAGAGAUAAGAAGAAUGAGCCUUUGAAAAAUGUCUUCACAAAGACUGGCAUGAUGGCAUGGAAGAAAGAGCCCCAGAUAUCCAGUAUACAUCUCAAGGUCAACUUGUCCAAAACAGAGCUACUGAUGAUUUUCCCCUUGAAAUCUACUCUUCCUACAGCUUAUUCAUCUCAAAUAGCUGGACUGCAGUGGCAUGAUCAUGGCCCACUGCAGCCUUGAACUCCUGGGCUCAAGUGAUCCUCCUACCUCAGCCUCCGGAGUAGCUGGGACCA